rnacentral:rRNA from 1 species
AGUCGUACGAUGCUAAGGUCGCAAGACCGAAGCAUAGUGGCAAACGGGUGAGUAACACAUUGGCAACCUACCUCAAAGACGGGAAUAACCCGGCGAAAGCUGGACUAAUAUCCGAUAUGUUCCGGUAACACAAGUUACCGGAGUAAAGCUUCGGCGCUUUGAGAGGGGCCUAUGCAUCAUCAGCUAGUUGGUAAGGUAAUGGCUUACCAAGGCUUUGACGGUUAGCGGGUGUGAGAGCACGACCCGCCUCACUGGGACUGAGACACUGCCCAGACUCCUACGGGAGGCUGCAGUCAAGAGUAUUCCCCAAUGCACGAAAGUGUGAGGGAGCGACGCCGCGUGAUUGAUGAAGCCCUUCGGGGUGUAAAAAUCUUUUAUUUGGGACGAACUAAUGACGGUACCAAAUGAAUAAGGGGCUGCUAAACUCGUGCCAGCAGCAGCGGUAAUACGAGUGCCCCAAGCGUUACCCGGAUUUAUUGGGCGUAAAGCGUGUGUAGGCGGUUUAUUAAGUCAAUGGUAAAAUUUUCCAGCUCAACUGGGAAUCUGCCGUUGAUACUAUUAAACUAGAGUCUGGAAGAGGCAAGUGGAAUUGCCGGUGUAGGAGUCAAAUCCGUUAAUAUCGGCAGGAACACCAAAUGUGAAGACAACUUGCUAGUACAGCACUGACGCUAAGACACGAAAGCGUGGGGAGCGAAGCGGAUUAGAUACCCGCGUAGUCCACGCCGUAAACAUUGGAUACUAGACCUUGGGAGUAUCGACCCUCCCAGUGUCGUUUACAAAAGCAAACGCGUUAAGUAUCCCGCCUGGGAAGUACGGCCGCAAGGCUAAAACUCAAAGGAAUUGACGGGGACUCGCACAAGCGGUGGAGCACGUGGUUUAAUUCGACAGUAAACGAAAAACCUUACCAGGGCUUGACAUAUAGCUGCACGCCCCGAGAAUCGGGGAGCCUACGAGGUGCUAUACAGUGCUGCAUGUGUCGUCAGCUCGUGUCGUGAGAUGUACGUAGUCGAUACGAGCGCACCCCAUCUACUA